rnacentral:rRNA from 1 species
UCGGGAAUUUUGCGCAAUGGACGAAAGUCUGACGCAGCAACGCCGCGUGAGGGAUGAAGGCCUUCGGGUUGUAAACCUCUUUUCUCAGGGACGAUAAUGACGGUACCUGAGGAAUAAGCCACGGCUAACUACGUG